rnacentral:lncRNA from 1 species
GGCACAGGGGAGGCCCUGAGUCACACGAUGGUGAUGCCCAGGGCAGAAGAUGUCAGAAGACAGGCAGUUUGACAGUGCUUCUGAAGGUCGUGAAAAAGCCAGGGGUGAGUCUGUAAAGUCCCUGCUGGCCAUGAUGAUGUCCCUGACAGCUGGGGAUCCUGGCGAGAACAGCAUUCAGAACUUGGGAUUUUCCUUGCAGAUCACAAUGGUUGGCUGACUCAGGGGAAAGGGGGAGCUUUGCAGAGAGCCUCAAACAUCUCCAGCUGAGCUGCACCUGUCAGGGCCCCUGAGCCAUCCAGGAAGAAGGAGGCACUGAGGUGGGGAACGGGGUCCUGGCCUGGGGUCAGCAGCCUGGGCUCUGGUUCCAGUUCCGCACCCCCCCUUGCCCCCCAGAACUACCUGUAUGGCAAGCUCCUUUCCCUUCCUGUGCCUCAGUUUCCUCCUCUGUAAAAUCAGUUUAGACUACACUGCAAGGUUGUCCAGCCCGCAGUCAGUGGGCUGCAUGCCAGCCAGGACAGCUUUGAAUGUGGCCCAACACAAAUUCGUAAACCUUCUUAAAACAUUAUGAAA